AGAAGAAGAGGGAAAAGAAGAGAGGAGGAAGAAGAGAGGAAGAAGAGGGAGAAGAGAAGAAGAAGAAGAAGAAGAGGAGGUGGCUGCAGCGAGGGCUGCAGCGAGGAGUGGUGGGGCGUGAGGAGAGAAGAAAGAAGAAGAAGAGGGAAAAGAAGAGAGGAGGAAGAGGGAGAAGAGAAGAAAAGAAGAAGAAGAAGAAGAGAGGGAAGAUGGAGAGGUGAGGGAGAGGCAGCAGUAGCAGCAAGGGCUGCUGCACCUCUGUUUCCCGCAGGUGGAAACAGAGGAGAGUAUGUGUGGGGCGUUGGGGAGGAGAAGGGAAGAAGAAGAAGAAGAAGAAGAAGAAGAAGAAGAAGAAGAAGAGGGGAGGAUAGCUGCGGCAAGGCUGCAGCGAGGAGGUGUGUGGCGUUGGGGAGGAAAAGGGAAGAGGAGAAGAAAAGAAGGAGAAGAAGAGGGAAAAGAGAGGGAAGAGGGAGAGGAGCGAGAGGUGGCAGCAGCUAGGGCUGCAGCACCUCUGUUUCCUGCAGGUGGAAAUAGAGGAGAGGUGUGGGGCGUUCGAAGAGGAGAAGAAGAAGAAGAGGAAGAGAAGAGGAAGAGGAAGCAUGAGAAGAGGUUGUGAUACCUCUGUUUCCUGCAGAGGAAACAGAGGAGAGGGUGUGUGAGACGCCGGGGAGGAGGAGGGAAGAAGAAGAGGAGAAGAAGAAGAGAAGGGAAAGGAGGAGGUGCGACUGCGGCGGUGGGAGCUACAGCUGGAAGAGAAGGAGGGGAAGAGAUGGUGAGGAAGAGGAGAAGAAGUAGAAGCGGGUGAAGAGGCAGCACCUCUGUUUCCUGCAGGAGGAAACAGAGGAAAGGAGGUGCUGUUCGUCGGGGAGAAGAAGGGGAGGAAGGAGAAGAAGAGAAGAAGAAGAAAGGAAGGAGAAGGAAGAGGAGAAGGGAAAGAAGUAGCUGCGGCUGCGGCUGUGGCAGCUGCAGCUAUGGCAGGGAAAGAGGAAGAGAAAGGAAGAAGGGAAGGAGAGGAAGAAGAGAAGGGGAAGAAGGGGCUGCGGCUGCGGCGAUGGCAGCUGCAGUUGGAAGAGAAGAAGGAGAGGAAGAUGAGCAAGGGAGGAAGAAGAGGCUGUGGCCGUGGCUGAGGCUGCGACUGUAGCAGUGCAGCUGGGAAAGAAGAGAAGAAAAGGAAGAAGAAGAGAAAGGAAAAGGGAAGAAGAGAGGAAGAGGAAAAGGGGAGGCAGCUGCGGCAGUGGCAGCUGCAGCUGGAAGAGAAGGAGAGGAAAUAGAGCAGGGGAGAAAGAAGAGGCUGCGGCUGUGGUGGCUGCGGCCAUGGUUGCGACUGCGACUGCGGCAGUUGCAGCUGGGAAAGAAAAGAAAGGAAAGGGGAAAAAGGGGCUGCAGACGGGAUUGUGGCCACAGUGGCAGCGGCAGCGGCGGCGGCUGUGGCAGCUGCGUUUGGGAAAGAAAAAGAAGGAAUGAGAGUAAGAGAGAGCAGGUGACUGUGCCUCGAUGUUCGACACGUGGUGUAGUUGCGAAGAAAGGAAGAAAACGGGAGCACAAAACGAAACAGAGAGAGGACACGGAGGAAAAGUAGAAGGAUUGGACUGACACCUUCCUUGGAUAUUCAGAUCAAAAUAUUUGAAAGGUCAGCUUGUCACUCUUCGAGAUGUUUGAUUUGGGCUGAGGCAGUGGAUAGCUAUUCAGAAUUAUGGGCAAGUCUUGUCGGUUGUUAUGCUAUUGUUGUAUAAGCAUAUUUUGUAUGUAAUGAAUUGUUCUGAUGAUCGAAAUGGAUAUAUUGUGUAAAAGUGUUAGAAGAUCUCUCUUAUUUGGAAUUUCAGAAUGUUAAGUCUAAUUUAUGACGAUAUGAACUUGUGGUGAAUAGUUGGAGUUCUAAUUGUAUAAUUUAUUUAGCUUGUGGAUUUAUAAAUGUUGUUCAUGUUUGUCAAGUUGGCUUGGGUUGCCAUAAAUGUGAAUUAUCGAGUGAUGUGAUAUA